rfam:Planctomycetes bacterium GWF2_42_9 gwf2_scaffold_7808, whole genome shotgun sequence.
GGAGGAGUGGCUGAGCGGCUGAUAGCGACGGUCUUGAAAACCGUUGUACCAGUGAUGGUACCGGGGGUUCGAAUCCCUCCUCCUCCG